UGCAAGUCGAACGCUUCUUUUUCCACCGGAGCUUGCUCCACCGGAAAAAGAGGAGUGGCGAACGGGUGAGUAACACGUGGGUAACCUGCCCAUCAGAAGGGGAUAACACUUGGAAACAGGUGCUAAUACCGUAUAACAAUCGAAACCGCAUGGUUUUGAUUUGAAAGGCGCUUUCGGGUGUCGCUGAUGGAUGGACCCGCGGUGCAUUAGCUAGUUGGUGAGGUAACGGCUCACCAAGGCCACGAUGCAUAGCCGACCUGAGAGGGUGAUCGGCCACAUUGGGACUGAGACACGGCCCAAACUCCUACGGGAGGCAGCAGUAGGGAAUCUUCGGCAAUGGACGAAAGUCUGACCGAGCAACGCCGCGUGAGUGAAGAAGGUUUUCGGAUCGUAAAACUCUGUUGUUAGAGAAGAACAAGGAUGAGAGUAACUGUUCAUCCCUUGACGGUAUCUAACCAGAAAGCCACGGCUAACUACGUGCCAGCAGCCGCGGUAAUACGUAGGUGGCAAGCGUUGUCCGGAUUUAUUGGGCGUAAAGCGAGCGCAGGCGGUUUCUUAAGUCUGAUGUGAAAGCCCCCGGCUCAACCGGGGAGGGUCAUUGGAAACUGGGAGACUUGAGUGCAGAAGAGGAGAGUGGAAUUCCAUGUGUAGCGGUGAAAUGCGUAGAUAUAUGGAGGA
rnacentral:rRNA from 1 species